rnacentral:rRNA from 1 species
UACGUAGGGAGCAAGCGUUGUCCGGAAUUACUGGGCGUAAAGCGUGCGUAGGUGGUUUGUUAAGUCUGCUGUGAAAGCCCUGGGCUCAACCUGGGAAUGGCGGUGGAUACUGACAAGCUAGAGUGCGGUAGAGGAGGGUGGAAUUCCCGGUGUAGCGGUGAAAUGCGUAGAGGAUCGGGAGGAACAUCAGUGGCGAAGGCGGCCCUCUGGACCAGCACUGACGCUGAGGCACGAAAGCGUGGGGAGCAAACAGG